UACGUAGGCAGCGAGCGUUGUUCGGAGUUACUGGGCGUAAAGAGUGCGUAGGCGGUUUUCUAAGUUUGGUGUGAAAUCUCCCGGCUCAACUGGGGGGGUGCGCCGAAGACUGGAAGGCUUGAGUAUGGGAGAGGUAAGCGGAAUUCCUGGUGUAGCGGUGAAAUGCGUAGAUAUCAGGAGGAACACCGGUGGCGAAGGCGGUUCUCUGGGCAUUACCUGACGCUGAGGAGCGAAAGUGUGGGGAGCGAACAGG
rnacentral:rRNA from 1 species